ACCUGCACACAACUGCUUGACU
rnacentral:miRNA from 1 species